GAUGAACGCUGGCGGCGUGCCUAAUACAUGCAAGUCGAGCGAACGGACGAGAAGCUUGCUUCUCUGAUGUUAGCGGCGGACGGGUGAGUAACACGUGGAUAACCUACCUAUAAGACUGGGAUAACUUCGGGAAACCGGAGCUAAUACCGGAUAAUAUUUUGAACCGCAUGGUUCAAAAGUGAAAGACGGUCUUGCUGUCACUUAUAGAUGGAUCCGCGCUGCAUUAGCUAGUUGGUAAGGUAACGGCUUACCAAGGCAACGAUGCAUAGCCGACCUGAGAGGGUGAUCGGCCACACUGGAACUGAGACACGGUCCAGACUCCUACGGGAGGCAGCAGUAGGGAAUCUUCCGCAAUGGGCGAAAGCCUGACGGAGCAACGCCGCGUGAGUGAUGAAGGUCUUCGGAUCGUAAAACUCUGUUAUUAGGGAAGAACAUAUGUGUAAGUAACUGUGCACAUCUUGACGGUACCUAAUCAGAAAGCCACGGCUAACUACGUGCCAGCAGCCGCGGUAACACGUAGGUGGCAAGCGUUAUCCGGAAUUAUUGGGCGUAAAGCGCGCGUAGGCGGUUUUUUAAGUCUGAUGUGAAAGCCCACGGCUCAACCGUGGAGGGUCAUUGGAAACUGGAAAACUUGAGUGCAGAAGAGGAAAGUGGAAUUCCAUGUGUAGCGGUGAAAUGCGCAGAGAUAUGGAGGAACACCAGUGGCGAAGGCGACUUUCUGGUCUGUAACUGACGCUGAUGUGCGAAAGCGUGGGGAUCAAACAGGAUUAGAUACCCUGGUAGUCCACGCCGUAAACGAUGAGUGCUAAGUGUUAGGGGGUUUCCGCCCCUUAGUGCUGCAGCUAACGCAUUAAGCACUCCGCCUGGGGAGUACGACCGCAAGGUUGAAACUCAAAGGAAUUGACGGGGACCCGCACAAGCGGUGGAGCAUGUGGUUUAAUUCGAAGCAACGCGAAGAACCUUACCAAAUCUUGACAUCCUUUGACAACUCUAGAGAUAGAGCCUUCCCCUUCGGGGGACAAAGUGACAGGUGGUGCAUGGUUGUCGUCAGCUCGUGUCGUGAGAUGUUGGGUUAAGUCCCGCAACGAGCGCAACCCUUAAGCUUAGUUGCCAUCAUUAAGUUGGGCACUCUAAGUUGACUGCCGGUGACAAACCGGAGGAAGGUGGGGAUGACGUCAAAUCAUCAUGCCCCUUAUGAUUUGGGCUACACACGUGCUACAAUGGACAAUACAAAGGGCAGCGAAACCGCGAGGUCAAGCAAAUCCCAUAAAGUUGUUCUCAGUUCGGAUUGUAGUCUGCAACUCGACUACAUGAAGCUGGAAUCGCUAGUAAUCGUAGAUCAGCAUGCUACGGUGAAUACGUUCCCGGGUCU
rnacentral:rRNA from 1 species